CCGGAGGCCACUGCUAUCGGGGUUUGACUAAGCCAUGCGAGUCGAGAGGUGCAAGACCUCGGCGAACUGCUCAGUAACACGUGGACAAUCUGCCCUGAAGAAGAGAAUAAUCCCGGGAAACUGGGGGUAAUGCUCUAUAGUCCGGGAGGACUGGAAUGUUCUCCGGAUGAAAGAUCCGUCGCUUCAGGAUGAGUCUGCGGCCGAUUAGGUAGUUGUUGGGGUAAAAGCCCAACAAGCCUGUAAUCGGCACGGGUUGUGGGAGCAAGAGCCCGGAGAUGGAUUCUGAGACACGAAUCCAGGCCCUACGGGGCGCAGCAGGCGCGAAAACUUUACAAUGCGGGCAACCGUGAUAAGGAAACCCCGAGUGCCAGCACAGGCUGGCUGUCCACCAGUGUAAACAACUGGUGAAGAAAGGGCCGGGCAAGACCGGUGCCAGCCGCCGCGGUAAUACCGGCGGCUCGAGUGGUGGCCGCUUUUACUGGGCUUAAAGGGUCCGUAGCUUGAUCCAUGGGUCCCUUGAGAAAUCCAUCAGCUUAACUGCUGGGCGUUCAGGGGAAACUGUGGUUCUAGGGACCGGGAGAGGUAAGAGGUACUGCCGGGGUAGGAGUGAAAUCCUGUAAUCCCGGUGGGACGACCUAUAGCGAAGGCAUCUUACCAGAACGGCUCCGACAGUGAGGGACGAAAGCUGGGGGAGCAAACCGGAUUAGAUACCCGGGUAGUCCCAGCUGUAACGAUGCGCGUUAGGUGUGUCAGUGACCACGUGUCACUGAUGUGCCGAAGGGAAACCGCGAAACGCGCCGCCUGGGGAGUACGGUCGCGAGGCUUAA
rnacentral:rRNA from 1 species